GAAGGGWGCAAGCGUUACUCGGAAUUACUGGGCGUAAAGCGUGCGUAGGUGGUGAGUUAAGUCUGUCGUGAAAGCCCCGGGCUCAACCUGGGAAUGGCGAUGGAUACUGGCUCGCUAGAGUGCGGUAGAGGAGAGUGGAAUUCCCGGUGUAGCAGUGAAAUGCGUAGAGAUCGGGAGGAACAUCAGUUGCGAAGGCGGCUCUCUGGACCAGCACUGACACUGAGGCACGAAAGCGUGGGGAGCAAACAGGAUUAGAUACCCUGGUAGUCCACGCCCUAAACGAUGCGAACUGGACGUUGGGAGCAACUAGGCUCUCAGUGUCGAAGCUAACGCGUUAAGUUCGCCGCCUGGGGAGUACGGUCGCAAGAGUG
rnacentral:rRNA from 1 species